rnacentral:lncRNA from 1 species
GCUAUCCAAGUAAGAACACUUAUUUUUUUGGUACAAAUCAAUCCUUAACAAUCCGAUUCAGGGUUCAGAUCAAUCCAACCGAGUUUUAGAAUCUCCAAAAACUCAAAAAUCCAAUGUGAUUUUGGUGUUAGAGCAGAAAACUUGUUUUUGUUAUCAGAUCAAGCUGUAUUUUGAAAAUUUGCUCAUUCUCAUUUGAUUUUAGUUUUAGCAUCAGAGCAAAAAAUAAUUAUGUGCU